GUCAAUAAACAUAAUACUUAGAACGCGUCAUUACUUUCCUGUUUCAGCCAGAAAUAAUUAGUUAAAUCAACGACAUGAUGUGUCGAUAAAUCGUCAAUAUCAAAUACCGGUUAAUAUUAUUUUCUCUCACUUCUGAUAUCAUCAUAAUUACAUAAUAUACACAAUUUUAAUCUAGCAAUUGCGUACUGUUUUAUGAGACUUUAUCGUCUUUUAUCUAACUCUACAUCGAAUCAACGCGAAGUCGGAGAGCGCAAAAUAUUCGUAUGUGGAGAGUAUUUGCUUGAAAGACACAGAAAUCUUAUAGAAAUAUUCACAAUUACUUAGUUAAUAUAAAAACAAUUAUGUUUAGGUAAAACAAUGACAAAAAUAUUAACCAAUAUGCGAUAUCGGCCAAUUACACUGUGCAACAAAAUUUUGGUCAUGAUCACGCCUCAUUUUGAAACCUAUUCGGCUCACAUUCUGGUGCCAAAAGAAACCCGAAAACGUCUUUCAUUCCCCUAGGAAAAUAGGAUUCUGUCCAGGAGAUCAAAUUUAUCAUUUUUCUCACAUUUCGCUACAUUUCUGCCAAAAAUAGGAUACGGCUAGUCUUGUACUGCCGGUUGAGGGUCUAUUUCUAGUCAGGCUAGUAGCCAAGACCCAAACGAAUCCAACAAUGUACAGAAGUCGUGGUUUUUUAGUAUAACGUACUGUUAAGGGGCCAUUUUAAAAGAAAAAGUAGCUGCUUCCAGCGCCUGACGAACAGACCGGGAAUGUUCAAAAGUAUGAGAUGUAUGUUUUGUGAUGACAACAAAAAACAUUGGAAAACAAGUAACCAUUUUACAGACUGCAAAUAUUAAAUUGCGUUUAAUUUUUGCAUUUUAACAGUUGGUUUAAAUAACCUUAACAGUACGUUAUGCCCAAAAACCACGACUUCUGUACAUUGUUUUUUACAAGUGAUUGAAAUAAUGUGAUGUAACAAAUUUUAAUAUAAUUAUAUUUAUCAAGUGUUGAGAGUCAGCACUCUCAUGUGCGACUCAAGUGCCAUCCUCACUAGGGAAUGGCAUUAGCACUUGUGGACUUUCCUUACUAUUGUACUUUUUGUCUUUUUAUGGUAUAUAUCCCUACUUUUUAUUUUUCAUGAAUACUCAAGUAAGCAGAGAUGCCAACUCUGCUUCUCUGCAUGUAAGUCCUCUGUCCAGUUAUAUCAUUCUUGUACUUUCGUACAUGCAACACGUCACCUCCUGUGACCACAUCCCACGGCAACAUCAAGACCAUGGGGGAGGUACAGGAAAGUGAGAGAUUUUGCAAAUAUUUGGAAAGCUGAAGUGUAUCACCAGAUCUUCGGCUUAUCGGGAAAUGAGAAUAUACAUAUACUUAACUUCCACGCGGAAGGAUUUCAAAAUGGACAAGAUGAUCACUUUAAUAACCAGAGUGGCAAACUUCCAGCCAAUGCAGUUGCGUG